UCCGGCUUCUACACCGGCAGUCUCACUAAAGUGCCCAACUUAAAGAUGGCAACUAGUGACAAGGGUUGCGCUCGUUGCGUCACUUAAGACAACAUCUCACGACACGAGCUGACGACAGCCAUGCAGCACCUGUGUCUAGGUUCCCAAAGGCACUCCCGCAUCUCUGCAGGAUUCCUAGCAUGUCAAGAGCAGGUAAGGUUUUUCGCGUUGCAUCGAAUUAAUCCACAUCAUCCACCGCUUGUGCGGGUCCCCGUCAAUUCCUUUGAGUUUUAAUCUUGCGACCGUACUCCCCAGGCGGUUUACUUCUCGCGUUAGCUACGCUACUUAGCAUCUCUGCCCAACAGCAAGUAAACAUCGUUUACAGCGUGGACUAC
rnacentral:misc_RNA from 1 species